rnacentral:rRNA from 1 species
UUUUUUGUGCAUCCCACUCUGGACCUAUAGUCAACAGGAAUUAAUGAAGGCUCAGCAUGUGUAGCUAAGGAGUGUUGGGCCUGGUUAAUACCCAGAUGGGAGACUACAUGGGAAUAAAAGGGAAGUGGAAAAA